AUUUUCUUCUCUCUUUCUUUUUUUCUUUCUUCUCUCCGCCGCCUCUUGAAAGGCGAUGCCUAAACUAGUCGGACUUAGCUCUCUUUAUUUCUCUCUCUCCGUCAUCGUCGUCGCUGCUAAUUGGUGUUGAAUUGGAACUCCAACUUCUCCUUCUUUUUCUCUUCAACUUUGGCCAAAUAAAGUCAGGAGUGCAAGGUAUUGGUUCAUUAUGCCAGACUGAGGCGAUUGAUGGUGUUCAGCUUGGCACUAUGUCACAGGACAUUACAUAGCUUACGCAUACCUUAGCAUAGUUCGAGGAACAACGAAUCACUCAAAAUGAUACACCAUGUACAAAAUCAUCGAGGAACUUAAGCAACAAGUGGUUAGCAUAACUCCUCGUUUUUGUCAUCGUUCUCAGUGUCCCUAUUCAAGUAGCGAAGAAGACAUAGAGAGUGACAAGGAGUUAGCGGGGACUACUUAGUGUUGUUGAAUUUGAUGCUUCUAGAUACUUUUUACACAUUCUUACACAUUAACUUUUGAAAAACCUUUUAGUUGUUUAAGUGUUGUUGGUUUGAAUUUUUUUUAUUUUUUUUUUGGAUUAGCAAAGUCCAAAAAAAAAAACCUUUUAGUUGGUUUGGAUUACUUAAGUGUUUUGAUAUUGUAGUG